AUUGAACGCUGGCGGCAUGCCUUACACAUGCAAGUCGAACGGUAACAGGUCUUCGGACGCUGACGAGUGGCGCACGGGUGAGUAAUGCAUCGGAACGUGCCCAGUCGUGGGGGAUAACUGCUCGAAAGAGCAGCUAAUACCGCAUACGACCUGAGGGUGAAAGCGGGGGACCGUAAGGCCUCGCGCGAUUGGAGCGGCCGAUGUCAGAUUAGCUAGUUGGUGGGGUAAAGGCCUACCAAGGGAACGAUCUGUAGUUGGUCUGAGAGGACGACCAGCCACACUGGGACUGAGACACGGCCCAGACUCCUACGGGAGGCAGCAGUGGGGAAUUUUGGACAAUGGGCGCAAGCCUGAUCCAGCAAUGCCGCGUGCAGGAAGAAGGCCUUCGGGUUGUAAACUGCUUUUGUCAGGGAAGAAAUCUUCUGGGCUAAUACCCCGGGAGGAUGACGGUACCUGAAGAAUAAGCACCGGCUAACUACGUG
rnacentral:rRNA from 1 species